rnacentral:lncRNA from 1 species
CGGAUGCAGAGGCAACAGAGGUAGGGAGAGGGCCAAUGGCUGAUGAUGAUGCGAUGUGCUCAACCCAUGCUGAAGUUUCAGAGCUGCGAAAUGUUGCUACACUUUUUUCCAAACAACAAAUAUAAUGACUGAGCACUCCUAACAAGGGAAUAUUAAGGAAGUUUCUGAAAGAGAGGAAUAACAAGUAAAAAAAAAAAGAGCUAUGGAAAAAUAAUCAAGCUUCCUGUGCAGAAGGAAAAAAGUCUACUCAGAGGAAGUACUGAGUAGUAAAUUAUAAAACAAUUGUCAUAGCAUACUCUGGCUUGAUGUGGGCUGGUGUUAAAUACAAUGACCCACUUAAAAGAGACAGGUAUGUGAUGUUGGGUCUUCCAUGGGAAAUUGUUCAUCAGCCUCAGAUGGAUAUCUGAGGAAUACCACACUGCAGUCUGUCAAAGGUGAUGUGGGAAAUCUUGGAGCCUAAAGUGGGUUACAACAGGAGAAAAUCAGACGUCUUUGCAACGGAGGCUGAUGCAUUUUUAGAAGCCAGAAGAGAGAAGACUUACUAGAUGGUUUUCAGUUUUGGUCAUUGAUCCUGACAUAAUAGAAUGUGACCUACGUAGAGAAGACAAAACGCAGAAAUACAACACAACCAAAGAAUACAUGCUGGAAAAGGGAUCACUGAAGAAAAACGGAUAGGAAGUAUAUCUCAUAUUUUUGUGUGUGCAGGCAUACCUCGGAGAUGUUGUGGGUUUGGUACCUGACUGCUGCAAUAAAGCUAAUAUCACAAUAAA